AAAGUCGUAACAAGGUUUCCGUAGGUGAACCUGCGGAAGGAUCAUUCUUGUAUCUCACCACUUUCCAGUGGCAAACUAUGUGAACUGUACAUUUUCGCACACGUGUGCAUCAAGCAUCAUUAGUGUGAUGGUGGAGCAAGCGAGCCAACUUGGCGAGAGGCGGUGUUCAAGUCGUCGAAAGAUUUACUGAGCAUGCGCGUUGCCCUGUCGUUUCGUUUGUUUAGCUUUAUCCUAGUGGUGUGCACGCGUUGCUACCCCAACAACAACCACGUACCCAAUUAAACCUUUCGUCUUAAAUCAACAACAACAACUUAAUACAACUUUUAGCAACGGAUCUCUUGGCUCUC
rnacentral:misc_RNA from 1 species